AGUCCUGUGGUGAAUAAUUCAUGCUGAAUUGCAAAUUCAGAGUAGUAGGUUAAACUUACCGGGGCUU
rnacentral:tRNA from 1 species